rnacentral:rRNA from 1 species
UCGGGAAUCUUGCACAAUGGGCGAAAGCCUGAUGCAGCAACACCGUGUGAGCGAUGAAGGCCCUAGGGUCGUAAAGCUCUGUUUGCGAGGACGAAGGGCGAAGGGUUAAUAGCCCCUAGCCUGACGGUACUUGUACAGAAAGCCCC